UACGUAGGGUGCGAGCGUUAAUCGGAAUUACUGGGCGUAAAGCGUGCGCAGGCGGUUCGUUGUGUCGGUGGUGAAAGCCCCGGGCUUAACCUGGGAUGGCCAUGGAAACUGGCGAACUGGAGUGUGGCAGAGGGGGUGGAAUUCCGCGUGUAGCAGUGAAAUGCGUAGAGAUGCGGAGGAACACCGAUGGCGAAGGCAGCCCCCUGGGCUAGCACUGACGCUCAGGCACGAAAGCGUGGGGAGCAAACAGG
rnacentral:rRNA from 1 species